rnacentral:rRNA from 1 species
ACUCCUACGGGAGGCAGCAGUGGGGAAUAUUGCACAAUGGGGGAAACCCUGAUGCAGCCAUGCCGCGUGUGUGAAGAAGGCCUUCGGUUGUAAAGCACUUUCAGUAGGGAGGAAGGUAGUGUAGUUAACACCUGCAUUAUUUGACGUUACCUACAGAAGAAGCACCGGCUAACUCCGUGCCAGCAGCCGCGGUAAUACGGAGGGUGCGAGCGUUAAUCGGAAUUACUGGGCGUAAAGCGCAUGCAGGCGGCCUGUAAGUCAGAUGUGAAAGCCCGGGGCUUAACCUCGGAAUUGCAUUUGAAACUGGCAGGCUAGAGUCUUGUAGAGGGGUUAGAAUUUCAGGUGUAGCGGUGAAAUGCGUAGAGAUCUGAAGGAAUACCAGUGGCGAAGGCGGCCCCUGGACAAAGACUGACGCUCAGAUGCGAAAGCGUGGGAGCAAACAGGAUUAGAUACCCCUGGUAGACUGUCA